UUGUUUUUUUAGAUACCGUGUUAAUUUCGACAGAAUGUUUAUGAUAUAAGAUUUUAAACUAUUGUGUAGCUGUUGUAUACAUAGGACUACCCAAAACGUCAUUGACUUGGAACAGCGUUGAAUUGUCUUAGGCCGGGUAUUUGUGUUUGGAGAAUCAGUCGUGCAUAAAACCGGUUUUAAAAAUGACCUGAAUGUUUUCAGGAACCAUCUGCGCAUAAAUCUAUAAUUAUCUCGUCUCUUGUAUUUCGUUUCCAAAGGAAUAACAAAAAUACUGGAGUUUCAGGUGUCUUGAUUUUGUGGAUUUUGAAAGUCAUGACGGGAAGCUGCACUUGAAGAAUCGUCUGCAAAAAUAUCGAUGUACAAAUGUCUUCAACGUGGGUCCUUCCUGGUGAUGCUUAAUUAGCCGACGAGGAAGUAAGGGAGAUGAGGUGAGAUAUUAUUCCUUUUCUUGCAUGUAGAGUGAAAAGCUCAUUCUUAUUUUUAUCGCACACUAACCAAGGCUCCAAUAACUAAACAUUCAAUAUUUCUAAAAAAAAAAAAAACCCACUCUGUCAAUGUCAAUCCGAAUAUUGCCAGACAGCGUCCUUGGAUAAUUUGCCGUAACUUAAUCUUCCAAAAGAAGAUAAUUAAGAAAUCAGAUAAUGAUAAAUGGAAAGUGGAAGAGUGAUUUACUUCUGGCUCAACUUAAUUUUCAAGUUUCAAUAUUUUAGUUGUAUUUUCAAUGGUAGCAAUUUUCAAAACUACCAGCUCCAAUAAUUGGCAUAUGUAAUGAUUGCAUUGAUAAAAGAAAUGCAUUGCUUAUCCGCUAAGAAUUUUUAAAAUGACCAGUUUCUUAUUAAAAAUUCAGUGUCCUACAUUUCAACAGUGCACGAAGAUGUCAUAUGAAAAGUAUAGGUGACAUAUGUAUGAUUAAGCAAAUAGAAUGCUGUUUGUAAUUCCCACAUGAGAGUUAUCGUACGUAGAUAAGAUAAGGAUCUUCAUUUGAUAAGUAUGUUGAAGUGCAAAAAAAAAAAAAAAAAAAAAAAAAAAAAAAAAAAACCAACAACUAUAUAUUAUCAUCAAUACAUCAUUUAGUUAUAAAUUCAGUUCUUUCUAUUUUUCUUCAUUGAAGGUACACGUUUUUAAGUUUCGCACAACAGAUGUUAAGAAAACGUUCUUCAUCUCCAUCUUGUCUGCUUACGUCAUUUGUGUUUCUAUUCGUGAUGAUUUUUGUUUUGACCCAGUUGAUUCCCGGACCUUAUCCAUCAUUUUGUCGGAAUUAUUUUGAAAACAAUUCGUACUUAUCGCUAGAAGAAAUACGAUCCCGUGAAGGAUCAGAAAUUAUCAGAUUUAAAUAUAUUUUCAACCCUCGUGGAAUGUGUAAAACUAGUUCAAGGGUGCUACUACUGCUCGUUCUUGUGAAAUCAAAGGCUGGUAACUUCCGAAAGCGGCGAUACAUCAGAGACACGUGGGGCAAAGAUGCUCGAAAAAGGGGAUACAAAGUUGCAUUUCUUCUUGGAUAUAGCGAAUUGGAUAAAGUGUUUGUGGAUUAUGAAAAUGAGUUUUACAGUGAUGUAAUUCAACAGGACUUCCAGGAAUCUUACUACAACAAUACCCACAAAAUAAAGAUGGCGUUUGAUUGGGUAGUUAACUACUGCAAACGUGCCAAAUAUAUAUUGAUAGUAGACGACGAUAUGUAUUUAAAUAUUCCAAACGCUGUAGGUUAUAUUUCACAAGCUGGUGUAGGCGAGGAUCGUUAUCUUUACAGUGGAUAUUUUCUUCAAGAACCCCUUCCCGACCGUUAUGUCAAAAUAACCCAUCUCCACAACAUGUACAUGUAACAAGCAUGUCUGGACUUGCUCCAAUGUAAGAAACUUCGGGAUGGAUAAAUAACCCACAUUCAGAACCUAGGAAUCCAAGAUGUUUGGUACUGGCCUCUUUGACAUAUUGUGCCUUUGCCAAAGGCUCCAUAGUUAUUCCAUGCCCAAGUGCUUUUGGACAGGUCGAAUUGUCAUCUAUAAGUGAUAUAAAAAAUAACAUGUACUAUUGUUCACUCUAAGAGGAAUUGACAGAAUGUACACAAAAUAUUAUGUAUUACAUGUCCAUUCAUAAUUUUUGCUCCUUUGAUUCAAGACAGACUGUAUGAGCAUUGUAAACAAAAUCUAUAAAUCUUCAAUUAUUUCCAAAAAAUAAGAUUUGUAAAUUAUGUCAUAGUUUUGCCCAAACUGUUUAUGUUCUACUGCAUUAGUUUCUUUACUCACAAAUAUAGAAAGUGUAAACAUGAUCAUGUAUUGAGAUACUUUGAAAUUGUAUGUAUAUUCCCCACCUGAUAUUGAUGAUUUUGCAAGCAAUUGCGUCAGGAGAGAUUAGGUGUCUGUUGUUGGUUUUUUUUCUCAAACUGGCUACUUUUGUGUGAACUGAAUAAAACCUGUGAAUAUCAGUCAUAGAGAAAAUUACGUUUUUCAAUCAAUGCAAGCAAAUCAGAAUAGUAUCAAAAGUUUUUGCCAGGAAUUCAACAUUUUUAAGGAAAUGUAAAUGAGGUACACAUACUAUAUUUAAUAAGUGUAAUCUAAUUGUGAUAUUUCAUUGUUAUACUAGAUCUCUAACUGUAUAAUAAAUUUAAAGUUUG